rnacentral:rRNA from 1 species
GAUGAACGCUAGCGACAGGCCUAACACAUGCAAGUCGAGGGGCAGCGGGGAGGUAGCAAUACCUUUGCCGGCGACCGGCGCACGGGUGAGUAACACGUAUGCAAUCCACCUGUAACAGGGGGAUAACCCGGAGAAAUCCGGACUAAUACCCCAUAAUAUGGGCGCUCCGCAUGGAGAGUCCCAUUAAAGAGAGCAAUCUUGGUUACAGACGAGCAUGCGCUCCAUUAGCCAGUUGGCGGGUAACGGCCCACCAAGGCGACGAUGGAUAGGGGUUCUGAGAGGAAAGGUCCCCCACAUUGGAACUGAGACAGGUCCAAACUCCUACGGGAGCAGCAGUGAGGAAUA